rnacentral:rRNA from 1 species
ACGCCGUAAACGAUGAGUGCUAGGUGUUAGGCCCUUUCCGGGGCUUAGUGCCGCAGCUAACGCAUUAAGCACUCCGCCUGGGGAGUACGACCGCAAGGUUGAAACUCAAAGGAAUUGACGGGGGCCCGCACAAGCGGUGGAGCAUGUGGUUUAAUUCGAAGCAACGCGAAGAACCUUACCAGGUCUUGACAUCCCAGUGACCGCUCUAGAGAUAGAGUUUUUCUUCGGAACACUGGUGACAGGUGGUGCAUGGUUGUCGUCAGCUCGUGUCGUGAGAUGUUGGGUUAAGUCCCGCAACGAGCGCAACCCUUAUUGUUAGUUGCCAUCAUUCAGUUGGGCACUCUAGCGAGACUGCCGGUAAUAAACCGGAGGAAGGUGGGGAUGACGUCAAAUCAUCAUGCCCCUUAUGACCUGGGCUACACACGUGCUACAAUGGUUGGUACAACGAGUCGCAAGUCGGUGACGGCAAGCAAAUCUCUUAAAGCCAAUCUCAGUUCGGAUUGUAGGCUGCAACUCGCCUACAUGAAGUCGGAAUCGCUAGUAAUCGCGGAUCAGCACGCCGCGGUGAAUACGUUCCCGGGCCUUGUACACACCGCCCGUCACACCA